rnacentral:rRNA from 1 species
UACGGGGGGAGCAAGCGUUGUUCGGAUUUACUGGGCGUAAAGGGCGCGUAGGCGGCGCAACAGGUCACUUGUGAAAUCUCCGGGCUUAACCCGGAGCGGCCAAGUGAUACUGUCGUGCUAGAGUGCGGAAGGGGCUACUGGAAUUCUCGGUGUAGCGGUGAAAUGCGUAGAUAUCAGGAGGAACACCGGUGGCGAAGGCGGGUCUCUGGGCCGAUACUGACGCUGAGGAGCGAAAGCGUGGGGAGCGAACAGG